UUUCUUCCCUUCCCUUCUUCGGUUCUCUCUCUUUCCCUUCUUCCUUUCCCUUCUUCCCCACCUCCUCCCUUUAAUGUCUAAAUAAGGUCAUAUCUCCUGUUAUGCCUGCAGACUAAAGCAGGAAAUUCUGGAAGACCAAGGGAGCCACUGCCAUCUGACAGAGCCUUCCAAACUGCACGACGUAGAAGUCAGCAAGAAGAAGCCAGGAUUAUCUGAGCUUCCUUUUAAGCUGGUGGCUAUUACACCGAACGUUACACUUCUAAAUCGAGCCUACAAGAGAGCCUGGGACUAAGCCUUGAGACAACGAGCAUUCGAUGGCCAAGUAGAAGAUGAUGAACCUGCAAAAGACUAAGAAGCUGUCAAAGAGGUACAAGGCAAGAACAAUGUCCAUAGAAUGUGCGUUCACAGAAUCCAAGAGCAGAUAGGGUUUUAAGAGGGGGAAGGUGGUCAACAGAGUAAAUGACAGCUGAGGGAAUACAAUAAUGUUUGAAAACAACUAUGGGAUUGAGUUCUGCAUAGAAUAUUGUUAACUGUAGCAAGAACGAUUUUGAUGUAGUAAUGAGCAGGUUCAGGUUAGAGUGGAUUGAAAAGUGAGAGAUGAAUAAAUGAAUAUAGUGGGCAUAGUGAUCAGGGUUUAGGUGCAAUCUGCUUUUACUCAUCUAAGCGCAAGAGAAUUAAAAAAUUUAUAAGAUGCAAAAUAUCUUACAACAUCACUGGAAAGUGAUAUGGUUUGGAUUUAUGUCCCUGAUCAAAUCUCAUGUCACAUUGUAAUCCCCAGUGUUGGAGGACAGGCCUGGUGGGAGGUGAUUGAAUCAUGCGGAUGGUUUCCCCCUUGCUGUUCUCAUGACACUUCUCAUGACACUAAGUUCUCACGAGAUCCGGUUGUUUAAAAAUGUGUAGCAACUACCUCUUUGCUCUCUUCCUCCUGCUCCAGCCAUAUAAGACAUGCCUGCUUCCCCCUCACCUUCUGCCAAGGUUAUAAGUUUCCUGAGACCUCCCUAGUUGUGCUUCCUGUAUAGCCUGUGGAACUGUGAGCCA
rnacentral:lncRNA from 10 species